rnacentral:rRNA from 1 species
CGAGCGGUAUUUCUUCUUCGGGAGAGAGAGAGCGGCGUACGGGUGCGGAACACGUGUGCAACCUGCCUUUAUCUAGAGGAUAGCCUUUCGAAAGGAAGAUUAAUACUCUAUAAUAUAUUAAUUGGCAUCAAUUGAUAUUGAAAACUCCGGUGGAUAGAGAUGGGCACGCGCAAGAUUAGCUAGUUGGUGAGGUAACGGCUCACCAAGGCAAUGAUCUUUAGGGGGCCUGAGAGGGUGAUCCCCCACACUGGUACUGAGACACGGACCAGACUCCUACGGGAGGCAGCAGUGAGGAAUAUUGGUCAAUGGGUGCAAGCCUGAACCAGCCAUCCCGCGUGAAGGAUUAAGGUCCUAUGGAUUGUAAACUUCUUUUGUAUAGGGAUAAACCUACCCUCGUGAGGGUAGCUGAAGGUACUAUACGAAUAAGCACCGGCUAACUCCGUGCCAGCAGCCGCGGUAAUACGGAGGGUGCAAGCGUUAUCCGGAUUUAUUGGGUUUAAAGGGUCCGUAGGCGGACUUAUAAGUCAGUGGUGAAAGCCUGUCGCUUAACGAUAGAACUGCCAUUGAUACUGUAAGUCUUGAGUAUAUUUGAGGUAGCUGGAAUAGGUAGUGUAGCGGUGAAAUGCAUAGAUAUUACUUAGAACACCAAUUGCGAAGGCAGGUUAC